rnacentral:rRNA from 1 species
UCCUCUUAAAACUUUUGCGCAAAAAAGGAAUUUUAAUUCAACAUCGAGGUCAUAAACUCACUUGUCAAUUAGAACUUUCUAAGUGAAUUAAGCUGUUAUCCCUAAAGUAACUUAUUUCUAUUUUAGAAAUUCUAGUUAUUUAAACAAGUCCGUUCUUCUUUUUUAAGAAAAGAUCUUUUUCCUACCGCCCCAGUAAAAUACUUUUCCCCUCGAUUAAUAGAAAAAAAUAUAAAGUUUUAUAGGGUCUUCUUGUCUAAAAGAAAUAUUUUAGCCUUUUUACUAAAAAGUAAAAUUCAUUUUUUUAGAUAAAAAAAAAUUCUCCCGGUUUACUCUUUCAUUCCAGUCUCAAAUUAAAAGA